UACGGGGGGGGCAAGCGUUGUUCGGAAUUACUGGGCGUAAAGGGCUCGUAGGUGGCCAACUAAGUCAGACGUGAAAUCCCUCGGCUUAACCGGGGAACUGCGUCUGAUACUGGAUGGCUAGAGAUUGGGAGAGGGAUGCGGAAUUCCAGGUGUAGCGGUGAAAUGCGUAGAUAUCUGGAGGAACACCGGUGGCGAAGGCGGCAUCCUGGACCAACACUGACGCUGAGGAGCGAAAGCCAGGGGAGCAAACGGG
rnacentral:rRNA from 1 species